ensembl:lncRNA
GGUGGGUGCGCCGCUGCGGAGCCGAGACUCUGGGCUCCCGGGUCCCGGGUCUGUGCAGCGUCCCGGGCAGCAUCUUCCGCCUGGGGCUGUCUCCAGAUCUCCGCUGACAGUCGCGGGGUUUCACCAAAGGUCGACAUCGAGCGUCCACUGGCGUCAGGUUCUGAGCCGGACAGUUCCCGAAGGUCACCGCUGCAUACACACCUGACGGUAGAGCGCGCCCCGCUGCGCGUCACCUGCUCGCAGCCUGCGGACAGGCCUCCGGAGCCUCCCAGGAACCCAUCCUUAAACACGACUCGGAAGGACGCGGUCUCAACGCAAGACCGAGCUUCACCUGCAGCACCCGGGGAGACAGAGGUGGCAGUGUGAUGUGGACGCUCCUGGGCGCUACGCCGAGAAGGCAAACUUUGGAGCCAGACGCUGCAGCUUCAACUUCCAGCAGACGCUUCUCCCCGCAGUGUGGGCCUGAGCAACGGGGGAGCCCACCUGCAAGAUGGGGGAAUGAAUGAUACAGACCCAUCCCAGGGCUGUUCUAAGAAACGGAAUUUGUAGGGAGCCACCUAGUCAGGACCCUGACUCGGGAAGUACUCAGCGAAUGACGGGCAUUUUUAUCUUUCUCAAACAUUGUUAUCCUUUUCAUAUCCAUAUGUCAUCCUUGCUCAAACGUUUAAAAAUGCCUUCUAUCCACCAGGGUACCCAGUUAAGAAAAGGCUGCAUGGGGGGAAGGGCGCGGGAGAGGGGAAGUGUGAAGUCUUCCAGGUGGGUUCCUUGAGUCCCGGUUGUGAGCUUAUCAAGAACAGGUGCUAAGAGGCCCAGGACCACAGCUUUCAUCCAUGUAUUUGUUCAUUCAAUAAAUAUUUGAAUGACUCCAUAUAAAUGUGAAUUUGCACCCCUGAUCCUGGGUCUGGAACAGAGGUAAAGAUCCAGCUCUCCCCAAGUUAUCAGCUUAAUUCAUAUUGCAGCUAUGCUCAGAAGGUACCUGCAUCCUAAGAAAUCAGCACAAUACUGAAAUUGUCCACAGGGUGAAAUGUUCACUCAUUUCAUGAACAUUUACAGAGCACUUGAACCAGGCAUGGCCUAGAUGUGGGGAACAGGAGACUGACAAAGACUUCAACUUUCGCCCAGCUCACAGCCUGGAGCGGGGGCGAGAAACCGGCCAUCACAAUGCCGGUCCUGUAGAGUGCGUGACUGGGUGUCCUGGGAACACAGAAGAGGGGGAACCAACUCUCCAUCUGGCAUCACAGGGGCUUCACGGAGGGAACAUCUGGGCUGGGUCUCAGGACGUGCAGUUUUCCAAGCAGAGAAGGGAGAAGCCCAGCCCAUUUGGUAGAGCAGCAGGAAAAUGAGAAUCCCAGAUUUCACUUGCUUUCAUUCAUUCAUUUCAUUCCCUCAGAUUGCCAAAUCAGUAAGACGAAAAUUGUAAACAACCUCCAAUGACCAGCAAAUGACAGGCAAAAUUCCUUGUCUUGAUUGUAAUGGUAAUUACAUGACUACAUGUGCUGAUCAAAUCUCGUACAACUGUACAUUUUCUAGAUAUUUUAUUUUCACUUUAUUAUUUAUUUAUUUGGCUGCAUCUGGUCUUAGU